GUCAACGACCCAUGGCUAAAGCUGAUGGGCUUCUAGCUCGCAGUUGAGCCGACUAAGUACUUUGCGUACUACGUUAUUGGCGAGAGUUAAAGACCUACCAGGGAAUGCGUAGCCAGUUCCCUGCUCUAGA
rnacentral:sRNA from 17 species